UACGUAGGGCGCAAGCGUUGUCCGGAAUUAUUGGGCGUAAAGAGCUCGUAGGCGGUUUGUCGCGUCUGCUGUGAAAUCCUCAGGCUCAACUUGGGGCGUGCAGUGGGUACGGGCAGACUAGAGUGCGGUAGGGGAGACUGGAAUUCCUGGUGUAGCGGUGGAAUGCGCAGAUAUCAGGAGGAACACCGAUGGCGAAGGCAGGUCUCUGGGCCGUCACUGACGCUGAGGAGCGGAAAGCAUGGGGAGCGAACAGG
rnacentral:rRNA from 1 species